rnacentral:rRNA from 1 species
ACGGGUGAGUAACACGUAGGUGACCUACCUCGAAGUGUGGGAUAACAGUCCGAAAGGAUUGCUAAUACCGCAUGUGGUCUGUGAUAUUAGAAAUUGCAGACUAAAGCAGCAAUGUGCUUCGAGAGGGGCCUGCGCCCCAUCAGCUAGUUGGUAGGGUAAUGGCCUACCAAGGCUACAACGGGUAGGGGGCCUGAGAGGGUGACCCCCCACAUUGGCACUGACACACGGGCCAAACUCCUACGGGAGGCAGCAGUGAGGAAUAUUGCUCAAUGGGCGAAAGCCUGAAGCAGCAACGCCGCGUGCGCGAUGAAGGUCUUCGGAUCGUAAAGUGCUUUUGAGAGGGACGAGAUAGGACGGUACCUCUUGAAUAAGUCACGGCUAACUACGUGCCAGCAGCCGCGGUAAAACGUAGGUGGCAAGCGUUAUCCGGAUUCACUGGGCGUUAAGCGCGUGCAGGUGGCUUCGUAAGUUGGACGUUAAAUCUCUCGGCUUAACCGGGAGGUGUCGUUCAAUACUGCGGGGCUUGAGGGCAGAAGAGGGGGGUGGAAUUGCUGGUGUAGUGGUGAAAUGCGUAGA